CUCUCUUGCUUGCCACCAGGUAGCUGUCCCUUUGCUCUUCAUUUGUCUUCCACCAUGAUUGGGAGGCCUCCCCUGCCAUGUGGAACUGAGGAUGCAGCAUUCAAGGUUCUAUCUUGGAAGCAGAGACUGUGCCCUCACCAGAUGCUGAACCUGCUGAGCACCCUGAUCUUCCACUUCACCUUCAUCAGAACUACUGGGGCUGUGGCUGAGAUGUCACAUGGCAGAUAGGAUCACAAAUUUCUGUUGUAUCUGGAUGGAGAUCAGCAGGAGGAUCUAUGGGUGAGAAGAAGCACAGUUACAGAUGGAUUCUAGAGCCUGCUUGCUGACACAGGCUUGCAACUGCGGACUUUAUAAGCUUAGUUUUUAAUCUGCUAUCAGCUAGCAUAAUACCAUAAAUGCAUAAGAAACUAAGUAUUCAGUCUUACGAGAAAUGCUAUCUUGACCUGACCCUUUCUCCAAAUAAAUUGACAAAAUAUCUCAUCGUCUAGGAUGCCAGACAGAAAUACCAGUUGCAAUGUUUUGUUGCAUAAAGUUUAUCCUAAUUUAAAUUAGUGGCAUAUAAAGUCAUCAUCUUGCUUGAACAAACAUCUUAUUAAAUUGAGCAUGUCUUUUAUCCCAUGAAAUGAAAUUAAUUUUGAGAUAGUUAUUUUUCAGUUGGAAAUUUAUUGAGUUGAUAGAAAACAAGUUAUAUAGUCUUCCAAAGAAUAUGUUACAUCCAUUUGCAUUUUGUUUUUCUUCAGCAAUGUUUGGUUUUUAGAAAAUCUUACAAGUUAAAUAUACUAAUGUAGAAAUUGAAAGAAAAUAAUCAGAGAUAGAGCAAUAAAUUUGCAAAUAAAGAUUAUUCUUAAAAC
rnacentral:lncRNA from 10 species